rnacentral:rRNA from 1 species
AGAGUUUGAUCCUGGCUCAGAACGAACGCUGGCGGCAGGCUUAACACAUGCAAGUCGAACGCACCGCAAGGUGAGUGGCAGACGGGUGAGUAACGCGUGGGAACGUGCCCUUCAGUUCGGGAUAACCCAGGGAAACUUGGGCUAAUACCGGAUACGUGCGAGAGCAGAAAGAUUUAUCGCUGAAGGAUCGGCCCGCGUCUGAUUAGCUAGUUGGUAGGGUAAUGGCCUACCAAGGCGACGAUCAGUAGCUGGUCUGAGAGGAUGAUCAGCCACAUUGGGACUGAGACACGGCCCAAACUCCUACGGGAGGCAGCAGUGGGGAAUAUUGGACAAUGGGCGCAAGCCUGAUCCAGCCAUGCCGCGUGAGUGAUGAAGGCCUUAGGGUUGUAAAGCUCUUUCGGCGGGGACGAUAAUGACGGUACCCGCAGAAGAAGCCCCGGCUAACUUCGUGCCAGCAGCCGCGGUAAUACGAAGGGGGCUUAGCGUUGUUCGGAAUCACUGGGCGUAAAGGGCGCGUAGGCGGCCUGAUAAGUCGGGGGUGAAAGCCUGUGGCUCAACCACAGAAUUGCCUUCGAUACUGUCGGGCUUGAGACCGGAAGAGGUCAGUGGAACUGCGAGUGUAGAGGUGAAAUUCGUAGAUAUUCGCAAGAACACCAGUGGCGAAGGCGGCUGACUGGUCCGGUUCUGACGCUGAGGCGCGAAAGCGUGGGGAGCAAACAGGAUUAGAUACCCUAGUAGUCC